GUAUCCGCGUCACCUCCCUCUUUGCCCUUCUCGCUGCCCAAAACCCUCUCGCUCCGCAUAGCUUCCUCUCUACUGUCGCCCUUCGCCGAACAGAACGCUGCCGCCACUGUGAGCCUCCUCUCCGUUGAUGAGUAUCGGCUUAUCGUCGAGUCCAAGCGGUCGCUCAUCGCUUCCCUCCUGGAUCUCUUCUGCGAACCCCUUUGUCAAAAUCCUCUACUCUCUCUGCCGAAUCCCUCCGCCGACUCCCUCUCAGCCGAAUAUCUCCGCACAACCCAUCUCCGCCGACCCCCUCUCCGCCCAACCCCUCUCUGAACCCCUUUCCGACUCUACCGAACCUGACCGUCAAAUCCCUUGCUGAACAUCUCUGCCGAAGCAUCUUGCCUCCUCCUUCCUCGAGAUCGCCGAUGGCCAAACUGCCGAUGCCGUUGCACAAUUUCUUGAGGUUUUACCUUAUCGUCUUCUCGCUCUUGAUCGUUCAUGCAUGUCAGUUAUCCUAGAGCGAUGAUUCCUCGUAAUUGAAUGCUGCAGGUUAUUAGUUUGAUGAGCCUCUACAAAUCUUCUAUAUCAACAAUGAAAGUGGUGGGGUGGAGUCAUCUUGAUUACCUUGAUGGAUUACUGGAAUUACUAGGUGGUCUUCGACUAAACUUGUGCAAAUUAGAUGCCAGGUUCCCUUGAAGAUGAAGUGUGAACAACUUUGCCUGUCAUAAGAGAUACCCUUUAUGAAGAUCUUGCUUUUUCAGGCAAAGGUUGAGGCAUCUCUUCGUGGCAAGUGGUUGUUAGUCAAUCUACAGUCUCAUGAAGAAUUUAGCUCGUGUAGGUGGACUUGAACUACCGUUCUUUGAUUUCACCUUUACAAGAUGGUGAUUUUUGAAGUAUUUCAUGUUAAAUCUCAACCAUGAUAGUGAUACAUGGGCAAACGAAGCUGUCACAGAAACUACUUCAUUCUAAUUUCAUUUUCUAGCCGGUUAGUUGAUUAUAUGGUAUUGUAUAUUUGUUAGCUCAUAUGCAUUGAUUUUUCUCACAUUUAUUUAAGAUGUUGAGCACUUUUUGUGUUUAUUUGCA